UACGUAGGGGGCGAGCGUUGUCCGGAUUUAUUGGGCGUAAAGAGCUUGUAGGCGGUUUGUCGCGUCUGCUGUGAAAAUCCGGGGCUCAACCCCGGACUUGCAGUGGGUACGGGCAGACUAGAGUGUGGUAGGGGAGACUGGAAUUCCUGGUGUAGCGGUGAAAUGCGCAGAUAUCAGGAGGAACACCGAUGGCGAAGGCAGGUCUCUGGGCCACUACUGACGCUGAGAAGCGAAAGCAUGGGGAGCGAACAGG
rnacentral:rRNA from 1 species